rnacentral:lncRNA from 1 species
GGGUUUGGAGAUGCCAUUGUUAGAUAAUCUUGAAGUAAGUAGAAGUAAAAGAAAGAGAGGAAAUGCGAAUGCUUGAUGGAAAUUGGUGAAGAAGAAGAAAAAGAAAGUGUGAAUUAAAGGAUUAUAUGGGACCAACCGUCAAAAUUAAGGGGAGCAAUGAUGGAAAGCCUAUAUUAAAGAUAACCACCACUUCGUAAACAGAGGAAGUUGAUUAGGCCUAGAAAAAUGGGUACAAAACUACAGAUCUAAUAAGAAGUUGACACAUGUAUAGAGUAUUAAAUGAGAAAAACAGAUGAGACGUCGAUACUAACACAAGCAUUAAUUAUGACAAAAAUUCUUUUUCUGGAUCCACUUCCCAAUUAAUUAAUUGAUAAAUAAAUGAGAAGUGGGGGGACUAUCUGUAUUGGGGAAAAACUGAAUUUAAAGUGAAGAUGAUGUGGCGUGACACGUGGAAUGGUCAAACAGGAAAAGAGUAAUAAAUGAUUAAAAAGGCACGGAAGACAACAAGCACGGGUGAAGAAAAUGAAACAGACACGAGAAAGAAUAUUAGAUACGAGUCUCGUGCCUAUUCAAGUCAUUUUGUUUCAACGGAUAAUAAAGGCACUGAAGACGCGAAUCUGAUGACAAAAAGUAGUCGAUAUUCAUUAUUAAAUACCUCAUACGUCAGUUAUUCAAUAUUUAAUAGCAAUGAUUAUGAAACGUCACAUUAAAUGCUAUUUAUUAUAUAGAUCAAUACAUUACUCCUUGUCAACUAUAAAUGGAGGGAGUUUCGUCAUUUUUAAACACGCACAGAACAUUCUUGAUAUCAUAUUGAAAUAACAAGUUCUUAUUGCUUUAUCUUUACUCUCUGAAAGACUUUUAUUUUGGUCUCUAGAUAAUCAUUAACCCGAUUUCUUCUCUCUACAAUUCAAGCUUUGACCAAAUUAUAUUUUUUGGUUAAACAAUCCUCGAUUUCAAUGGAGCCAUAUAGUGAGACAUGUUUCCCAUAUACGGACCUGUCCAUCUUGACUUAAAUAUUUCGGGGAACAACCUAAGUCUACUAUUGCAUAGUAAGACUAUAUCCCCUUCAUGAAUCUCCUUUGGCUUAAUCAGAUGAUGAUUCCACCUCUUUGUCCUUUCUUUAAAAGUUCGUGCAUUUUCAUGCGCGUCGACUCUAAACUCCUCCUCAUCUGCCACAAUAUACUUUCACCUCUAAGGCUAAGAUCAAGAUUAAGCAUCUUAAUUGCCAGUAAGCUUUAUGUUCUGUCUCAACUAGUAGAUGACCAAAUUUUCCAUACACAAAUUUGAACGGUGAAGUCAAGAUGGUUGUUUUGAAUGCAUUUUUACUCUAUGGAGCUUCAUCCAACUUCACAGACCAAUCUUUACAAGAAACACUUCUUUUCAAGAAUUA